rnacentral:rRNA from 1 species
UACGUAGGGGGCUAGCGUUGUCCGGAAUCAUUGGGCGUAAAGAGCGUGUAGGCGGUCCGGUAAGUCCGCUGUGAAAGUCAAGGGCUCAACCCUUGGAUGCCGGUGGAUACUGCAGGGCUAGAGUCCGGAAGAGGCGAGUGGAAUUCCUGGUGUAGCGGUGAAAUGCGCAGAUAUCAGGAGGAACACCGAUGGCGAAGGCAGCUCGCUGGGACGGUACUGACGCUGAGGCGCGAAAGCGUGGGGAGCAAACAGG